rnacentral:rRNA from 1 species
UACGUAGGGUGCAAGCGUUGUCCGGAAUUAUUGGGCGUAAAGAGCGUGUAGGCGGCCUCGUAAGUCCGCUGUGAAAGUCCAGGGCUCAACCCUGGAAAGCCGGUGGAUACUGCGAGGCUAGAGUCCGGAAGGGGCGAGUGGAAUUCCUGGUGUAGCGGUGAAAUGCGCAGAUAUCAGGAGGAACACCAGCGGCGAAGGCGGCGCUCUGGGCUGGAACUGACGCUGAGGAGCGAAAGCGUGGGGAGCGAACAGG